UCUAAACUAUUUAAAUUAAUUAGCUCUUUCGGUUUAGGAAGUGGCGACACAGUAGCUGAUAAUACAGUCUCUCCUUCUGUCAGAGGCUUAUGUUUUUCUGACUUUACAUUCAAAUCAACACUAUCAUGAGAAGAAUCUAAACAUAUUUUUUAUCAGAUUCCACAAACUAUAUGUAACAACAGGAGUAUGAGUAGGCCCUCGAGACUUGUAAUAAUUUUUUAAUCUUCUCCAACUUUCUGCCAGAUUUCUAUGUCAACAGAGCCGCCAUCAGGAAACCAGGGAGAUACACCAUGGAUAUGCUGUAAAAAUUCAGUCAACUGUGAGGUCCCUGUUCGAGUGCCACUUGCCGCGGACCAGCCGGAGAAAGAGGAUCUCACCGCCCAGGGUCAGAAGGGAAGGGGACAUUUCAUCUUGACAAUCUGCACAUCUGGGAGACUAUCAAGAAAUGCUUUGAGGUCGAUGCCAUUCAGCACAAUCCGAUUGUCAUAAAUGUGCCCAUUGGACUUAAAAUCGAUGACUGCCUUCUUCUUCAGCUGCAUGCAGUGUCUCUCAGCUGCCUCAAAAUCUCCUGCCUGAUACUCUCGAUGUGCCAACUCAGCUAACCCUUGGAAGGAAAGCAUACGUUUCGUUGGUUCUGUGCUGUCGGCCACGUUGCCCACAGAAGACGCCAUCUGGAGCUUCUGGAGAGAGUGAGAAAAGGGGAGCAAAAUUCACUUAAGUACUGUACUGGUGGAAAUUGGGCAGCACUAUGGAGACAAUAAAAAGGUGUUUACCAUCAAAAAACGUCAAGGUAAGAAAGAUAAUGUCUAAUUUUUAAUUAUCCUGUGGUUUAUUGAAAUCUUUUGGAAACCCAAAAUAGAGAAAACCUAGGAGGCAAUGAAGACUUAAAUCUUUAGAGAUUUAUCAACUCAUCUAUAAAAGCUUUAUUAAUCUCUUCUUUUAAUACCAUUCCUGAGAGGUAUAAAUGUGUCCAGUGAUAGGGUUGAAGAAGCCUGAGAGAAUUUCAAUUGUUUACUAUUCUUGGUCAGCUAUUAAGACCUUUCAGGAGCAUCUUGAUUUUCAUGGCAUCAUCCAACAAAAAGCAGGAUAUUUUACAGAAAGUCCUGGUCCACUUUUUGGCUUGCUUUUGUGUUUAUGUUUUUGGUUUUCUCACACUGGGCGGUACAUUAGGCUACCUAUUGCACACUCCCUCAUUCAUGCAUGCAUUCAUUCAAACAAUAUUUACUGAGUUGAGAUAUUUAAUUAACACCCAAUAAAUGAUGUUUAGAUGAAUGAAUGCGCUUUUUAUCAAAGUAAGUGUAAGUACUGAGAAAAAUUACAGAAUGUAUGAUCCCAGCCCCACAAAAGCGUAUAAUUGUGUUGAGGAUAUAACAUAUGCUGGUGAAAUAACUAAUAUAUCAUAUUGGACAGUUUCUAAGUUCAAAAAUGAGUUUUUGUAAAUAAUCAGAGCCUAAGGAGGACAAAGAAGGGACAGUUCAUUAUGGGUUGAAUCUAUCAAUAAAUGUACAUUUCAGAUGAGAUUUGAGAUUGACCUUAAAGAAAGAAGAGGACUUAGAUAUAUGAACAGAGAACAAAAAAGGCAUGGUGAUAGCAUGUGCAUAGAUAGUGUGGCCAAUAUUUAUGUUCUUCAUUAAAGACAGUCAGAGAUAACCCAAAUGUAACUGUUUCCAUGGGUCCAUUCUCAGUACCCAAACAAAACGGCAAAUCCUAUCUUAGUAAAACUAAUGAAAAACACAGUCUUUAACGAAGACAUUGUGAAGGAAAGGGGGAGAGAAAGGCUUGCGUCCCACACCACACAACAAAACUUAUUUAAUUAUUUGUUUCAUUUUCUCCCUCUGAAAAUUUCCUCUCCCUCUCUCUGUACAUCUCUCUUCUCCCACAUCUGGCCACACUCUACCAGCCACCUUUCCAGAUCUUUCCAGAACUCUCCAUCCUAGUUUCAUUAUGCCACAAGUUGAACAUCUCACAGGUCUCCAGGAUGCAUCCUCAUCACUUAUUCCACAAAGACAAACAAAGGACACUUCUCAGGAUCAAGUUUCUUGGAAGGAAGAGGUCAUGAGGAGUGAUUAUAAAUAACGUAAGGUGGAGAGCAGUGACUUAAAAUACCAUUUUUCCUCUUAGAAUGUGAAUACAGGGAACUUUGGGAAACUAGAAAAUCUAGAAAGGAUUCAUUGAUAAUUGUUUAUUUUCAAUGAAUAAAAUAAAAUGUAAUAAUACGGCUAAACUCUGACAGAUUAACUUUUUCAAAAGUUGCUUUCACACACCUUCACUAUUGGGAUGUUUGAUAAACACAUCUUUCUUCUUUAUUUGCAGAUACUGGCACCAAACUUUCAAACAAUAAGAACCUUCCCAUAAGUCCCUUGCCAGGCAAGAUUAAGGUAUAACAAUCCAAACAGAUUUUUGAAGAAGAUAACUGGUUGAAAGCACAGGAAAAGAGCUGGGUUGCUCUUUUUCAACGGUCACAUGAUGAGUAAUGUGGGAAUUGGUUUACAAAGUCUCUCUCCAUGAGGGGCUAAGGUUAAGAUUAGAACUUCUGAGGCCAGAAGAGCAAAAUAACUACAACAACACACAUAUUUUCAAGAGCCGCCCUUUGGAUGUGAGGGAUUGAUUUUUCCCACGCUUUUUUCAGCAACCCAACUGGUGUCUUUAUUAAAUGACAUAAGGGAAUACAGUGUGGCCAAGAAGGCUUAGAUUUCCUUAGCCGCAAGUCAGAUAUUCUCAAGUGACUGUCCACUCAAAUUAAAAAGAGAGAUUUACAAGAGGAAACUGGAUACAACUGAGUGUACUUUUAUUUCAACCCUUUAUCUGAAUGCUUUGUUUUGAUUUCAGUUCUCCACUGAAGUUGCCUACAUUAAUAUAUUUUUAAGAACAUUUCCUUAAGUUGAAGUAUUCAUUCAGUAUAUUCAUUUACUAUAAUUGAGAAAAGCCAAAUGACUUAGGCAAAUUCAUUUCUAUAUUGCCACAGCAGUGUAUUGUGAACUAAAUGACACCUGGCAGUUCUUUACUCAGAUACUAACUCAAUUAGAAGGCAGAACAAGGAUACCUACCCAUUGAGGGAAGGAAAGGUCACUUAGCCUCUGUAGCUGUCUUAGGUCUCUUAUCAUCACAGUAACAAACUGAAGACUAAAAACCAUACGAUCAUCUCAAUAGAUGCAGAAAAAGCUUUUGAAAAAAUUCAAUAUCCAUUCAUGGUAAAAACUCUCCAGAAAGUGGGCAUACAGGGAACAUACCUCAACAUAAUAAAGGCCAUAUAUGACAAGCCCAUAGCUAUCAUACUCAAUGGUGAAAAGCUGAAAGCAUUUCCCCUAAGAUCAGGAAUAAGACAAGGAUGCCCACUCUCACCACUUUUAUUGAACAGAGUUUUGGAAGUCCUAGCCACAGCAAUCAGACAAGAAAAAAUAAAUAAAUAAAAGGACUCCAAAAUGGAAAGGCAAAAGUAAAACUGUCACUGUUUGCAGAUGGCAUGAUACAUAGAAAAUCUGAAAGACACCAUCAAAAAACUAUUCGAGCUCAAACAUGAACUUGGUAAAUUUGAAGGAUACAAUAGAUUUCUAUAUAUAAAUUUUGUAUUUCUAUACACUCACAGUGAACUAUCAGAAAGAGAAAUUAAGGAAACAAUCCCAUUUACAAUCGCAUAAAAAAGAAUAAAAUACAUAAGAAUAAACCUGCCUAAGGAGGUAAAAGACCUGUACCCAGGAAACUAUAUGACACUCAUAAAAGAAAGGAAAGAUGACACAAACAGCUGGAAAGAUAUACCAUGGUCACGGAGUGGAAGAAUUAAUAUUGUUAAAAUGACCAUCAUACCCAAGGACAUCUACGCAUUCAAUGCAGUCUGUAUCAACAUAUCAAGGGCAUUUUCCACAGACCUAGAACAAAUAAUUUUAAAGUUUGUAUGGAAACACAAAAGAUCCUGAAUAGCUAAAACAGUCUUGAGAAAGAAGAACACAACUGGAGGAAUCAUGCUCCCUGGCUUCAGACUGUGCUACAAACCUACAGUAAUCAAAACAGUAUGGUACCGGCACAAAAACAUCCAUCACUGGAACAGAAUAGGGAGCCCAGAAAGAAACCCAUGCACUUAUGGUCAAUGAAUCUAUGACAAAGGAGGCAAGAAUAUGCAAUGGAGAAAAGUCUGGGCUUCCUUAGGGAUGGUUUCAUCAAUUAAUUUGUUUUCUUAAAUGGACCAUACUUUUCCAUGUCUUUGUAUACCUUGUGAGUUUUUUGGUUGAACAUUUGGCUUUCAAAUAUUAUAAUGUGGUGUCUAUGGAAAUCAGAUUCUCCCACUUUCCCAGGGUUUUCUGGGCUUUGGAUUGUUGAAGGCUGUAGUAGUCUGUUUGUUUAGGGGCCUUUCCAAACUAGUUUUGCAAUGAGUGUACUCCUUAUCGUAUGUAGGCACUGAAGUCUCUGUUCCUUUAGUUCAUGUUUAGCUAAUGUUUUGACAGAGAUGUCCUUGAAUUCCCACACCUAAGACAAACAAAAACAAAUAUACACAAGCACAUCCACAUGCACACUCAAAACCACACACCUCUCCCCAUUGUGCAGAUUGCUGGAUCACUCCUUCAACAUUUAGCUGACCUGCACUGAGGUCAGGGCUCAGCCCAUGGUAAAAGCUUAGAGACUCCUCUGGUGUUUUCAGAACAUGCAUCUUAUCUUGAGUAUGCAUGUGGCUUUCUUAAUUUCUCUGGACACAUACUUUUUGUAUGUUCUAAGUUCCCAAAGAAUCUCCCCCAACUUUUGCUCCUGCAUCUUAUGUGGUCUAUUGUAUUUCAAUGCACAGUCUUCUGCCCCAGCCAUCUCUGCUUUGUUAGUUCACCUUGCACUUUUUUUGAGCAAUGACCGCUGCUUUUCCAGACUGUGUUCCAGGUUAGCUAAGACAGAGAUAAGCAUCUUGUGUCAGUCCUUCAGGUAGCUCCCAGACAGGUUAGAACAGAUACACAUAAUAAUCCGAGAGUAUGGUCUCUUCUGCUCUCUCCUGAAGCAGGAUUGAGGGCCCCAUACUAGGAAUGGUCUGCUGCUACUUUAAGACUAUCACUGCAUUAAGACCCCACCACUUUAAGACCAUCACUACACUAAGAGUAGAUGGGGCAAGGGCAAGUAAAAAUGCCACAAAGCUUUCCUGCCAUUUUCAAAUUGCCUCUUCCCUGGUUCAGUAUGUGUUUGCUUGCUGUAAAUCUUUGCCUGAUUUCAGGACUAAGAGAAACUCAAGGAACGCCACAACAAGAAACAGUAUAAUCAAACUCUCAGAUGCCAAAAGACAGAGAAAGAAUCUUUACUCCCAAAGGAGAAAGAAAAAACAAAUUUGUUACAAAGCAGGGAUCCUCAAAAAGGUUCAUAGCUAAUUUCCUAUCUGAAACCACGGAAGCAAGAGGCCAGACAUAUUUAAAGUGCUGAGAGAAAAAAACUGUCCACCAAGAAUUCUAUAUUUGGCCAAACUGGUUUCAAAACUUAGGGAGAAAUUAACACAUUCCCAGAUGAACAAAGGCUGAGGGCGUUUGUUUUACAACUUCCUAACACUGCCCUAGGACAAAUGCUAAAUUGAACCUUCAGGUUGAAAUGAAAGGACACUAGACAGCAACUCGAAGCUGUAUAAAGAAAUAGAAAUCUCCAGUAAAGAUAAAUACAUGGGCAGAUACUAAAGCCAGUAUUGUGCUACUGGCUUGUAACUCUACUUUUUAUUUCUUACAUGAUUGAAAAAACAAAUGCAUAAAAUAAUCAUAAAUCCAUGUUAUUGGGCUCACAAAGUAUAAAGGUGUAAUUUGUGACAACAAUAAUGUAAGGAGGAGGAAUGGAACUGUAGAGGAACAGAGUUUCUGUGUGCUAUUGAAGUUGGUUUCAAUUCAAAUGAUAUUGGUUGAACUUUAGAAGGGUAAAUUAUAUGCUGUCCGCAAAAAACUCACUUGAUUUCAAGAGACACAAGUUGGUUGAAAGUUAAAGCACAGAAUAAAAUAUCCCAUGCAAAUAGUAACAAAAAGAAAGAAAGAGAGAGAGAGAAAAAGGAAGGAAGGAAGGAAGGAAGGAAGGAAGGAAGAUAGAUCUGGGAUGGCUACGUUAAUAUCACACAAAAUAAACUUUAAAUCAAAAACUAUCACAAGAGGAAAAGGAGGCCACUAUAUGUUGAUAACAAGUUCAAUCUAUCAAGGAGAUAUAACAACUAUAAACGUAUAUGUACCAAACAUCCCCCAAAUAUGUGAAGCAGACAUUGACAGAAUUGAAGGAAGAAAUAGAUAGUUCUAAAAUAAUAGUUGGAGAUCAAUACCUUGCUUUCAAUAAUGGAUAACACAUCUAGACAGAUCAGUAGAGAGGUAGGGGGACUGAAUAACACAUUUAACCAACUAAACCUAACAGCCAUAUAUAGAUCACUCCACUCAACAACAGCAGAAUACACAUUUUUCUCAAGUACACAUGGAACAUUCUCCAGGAAAGACCAUAUGUUACGCCACAAUACAAGUACCAAUACAUUUUUAAGAAACUGAAAUCAUACAAAGUAUCUUCUUUAGCCACAGUGAAAGGAAGGUAGAAAUCAAUAACAGAACCAUUGGUAGCCAUUUCCCAUCAUGCCUGCCACACAUGAUAUAAAGCAAUGAAGGGGAAAACAUAAUUGACCAUUUAGAAAAGUGGGAAAGAGGACAUACCAUUGACACAGAGUGUGUGCUGUUUCCCGUUCUCAGGGAUAGAAAUAAAUUAGCAUCAUUUAUUCAUUAGUGUGUUAAUUUCUUGGUCAAUCAUUGCGCAGCCAGUGUUUCUGCCUGAUGGGAAGAUUUCCUAUACUCAGUGUUGAGUGGAGACAACCUUGAAAGGGACAUUUAAAAGGAUUAUACUGUGAUGGGCUUAGCAGUACCCUUCCUCCUAUGCCAGUAUUUAGGCUGGGGUAUUUCCAUGCAGUGUGUACAAUCGUAGGCCCCAGGUCACCAGAAUUUAGUUGGAUUCGUUUUGUUAAUACAUUCCCUCAGUACUUUGUCUUUUAUUUCACUGUUGCAUUUACUUCAUUCUUUAUUAUCACUGCGAAACAACUUUGUUUCCUGUUCAGAUGCCAAAAAGUGGAUAUCAAUACCUCCUGAGUUUUACACAUCACAGAUCUGUUUUACAUAUCAGAGGCAGAGACAGCAACUAUUUCCAAUGACUUUGAGACAUGCUUUGAACAUGUGAUUAACAUGUGGAGUGUUGAAAUGUGUGUCGAGCUCAUUACACUUGCUCUAAAAGGUUUCAAACUGCAAAGAUUUAAAAAUCUUUAUCUUUGAAUAGUUUUCCUGUGCUGUCCCUUUGUGUCAGACUGUUAAUGUGCAGUCUGGCACCUUUAAAUAAUGUGGCUUUGUAACCAAUUAUUUACAUGUUGUUUUAUCCACAGAGAAUCUUUUUUUUAAAAAAAUAAAUUUAUUUAUUUUUGGC